rnacentral:rRNA from 1 species
UACGGAGGAUCCAAGCGUUAUCCGGAUUCAUUGGGUUUAAAGGGUGCGUAGGCGGAAUGAUAAGUCAGUGGUGAAAUCCUUCAGCUUAACUGGAGAAUUGCCAUUGAUACUGUCAAUCUUGAGUACAUUUGAUGUGGGCGGAAUGUGUCAUGUAGCGGUGAAAUGCUUAGAUAUGGCACAGAACACCGAUUGCGAAGGCAGCUCACAAAACUGUAACUGACGCUGAGGCACGAAAGCGUGGGUAUCAAACAGG